rnacentral:rRNA from 1 species
GACGAACGCUGGCGGCGUGCUUAACACAUGCAAGUCGUACGGUAAGGCCCUUUCGGGGGUACACGAGUGGCGCACGGGUGCGUAACACGUGAGUAACCUGCCCACAACUUUGGGAUAACGCUAGGAAACUGGUGCUAAUACUGGAUAUGUGCUCCUGCUGCAUGGUGGGGGUUGGAAAGCUCCGGCGGUUGUGGAUGGACUGGCGGCCUCUCCGCUGGUUGGUGGGGUAGUGGCCUACCAAGGCGGCGACGGGUAGCCGGCCUGAGAGGGUGACCGGCCACAUUGGGACUGAGAUACGGCCCAGACUCCGACGGGAGGCAGCAGGGGGGAAUAUUGCACAAUGGGCGCAAGCCUGAUGCAGCAACGCCGCGUGCGGGAUGACGGCCUUCGGGUUGUAAACCGAUUUCAGCAGGGACGAAGCUUUUUGUGACGGUACCUGCAGAAGAAGCACCGGCUAACUACGUG